rnacentral:rRNA from 1 species
AGCUCCAAUAGCGUAUAUUAAAGUUGUUGCAGUUAAAAAGCUCGUAGUUGGAUCUCAGGCGCCGGCGGACGGUCCCUUUAACGAGGGCUACUGUCCGCUCCGGCCCUACCCGCCAGUGUGUCGCGGGUGCUCUUGACUGAGUGCCCGCGGCGGCUGGAACGUUUACUUUGAAAAAAUUAGAGUGUUCAAGGCAGGCGCUUCGCCUGAAUAAUGGUGCAUGGAAUAAUGGAAUAGGACCUCGGUUCUAUUUUGUUGGUUUUCGGAACUUGAGGUAAUGAUUAAGAGGGACGGACGGGGGCAUUCGUAUUACGGUGUUAGAGGUGAAAUUCUUAGAUCGCCGUAAGACGAACUGCUGCGAAAGCGUUUGCCAAGCACGUUUUCA